GACGAACGCUGGCGGCGUGCUUAACACAUGCAAGUCGAACGGAAAGGCCCUGCUUUUGUGGGGUGCUCGAGUGGCGAACGGGUGAGUAACACGUGAGUAACCUGCCCUUGACUUUGGGAUAACUUCAGGAAACUGGGGCUCAUAUCGGAUAGGAGCUCCUGCUGCAUGGUGGGGGUUGGAAAGUUUCGGCGGUUGUGGAUGGACUCGCGGCUUAUCAGCUUGUUGGUGGGGUAGUGGCUUACCAAGGCUUUGACGGGUAGCCGGCCUGAGAGGGUGACCGGCGACAUUGGGACCGAGAUACGGCCCAGACUCCUACGGGAGGCAGCAGUGGGGAAUAUUGCACAAUGGGCGGAAGCCUGAUGCAGCAGCGCCGCGUGCGGGAUGACGGCCUUCGGGUUGUAAACCGCUUUCGCCGGUGACGAAGCGUGAGUGACGGUAAUGGGUAAAGAAGCACCGGCUAACUACGUG
rnacentral:rRNA from 1 species